rnacentral:rRNA from 1 species
UGGGGAAUAUUGCACAAUGGGCGCAAGCCUGAUGCAGCCAUGCCGCGUGUAUGAAGAAGGCCUUCGGGUUGUAAAGUACUUUCAGUCGGGAGGAAGGCGAUAAGGUUAAUAACCUCAUCGAUUGACGUUACCCGCAGAAGAAGCACCGGCUAACUCCGUGCCAGCAGCCGCGGUAAUACGGAGGGUGCAAGCGUUAAUCGGAAUUACUGGGCGUAAAGCGCACGCAGGCGGUCUGUCAAGUCGGAUGUGAAAUCCCCGGGCUCAACCUGGGAACUGCAUUCGAAACUGGCAGGCUAGAGUCUUGUAGAGGGGGGUAGAAUUCCAGGUGUAGCGGUGAAAUGCGUAGAGAUCUGGAGGAAUACCGGUGGCGAAGGCGGCCCCCUGGACAAAGACUGACGCUCAGGUGCGAAAGCGUGGGGAGCAAACAGG